rnacentral:rRNA from 1 species
UACGUAGGGUGCAGGCGUUAAUCGGAAUUACUGGGCGUAAAGCGCGCGCAGGCGGCCUUUUAAGUCUUGUGGUGAAAUGCCGGGGCUCAACCCCGUGCCCGCCGGAGAUACUGGGAGGCUGGAGACGAGUAGAGGCAAGCGGAAUUCCGGGUGUAGCGGUGGAAUGCGUAGAGAUCCGGAAGAACACCGGAGGCGAAGGCGGCUUGCUGGGCUCGGUCUGACGCUGAGGCGCGAAAGCGUGGGGAGCGAACAGG